rnacentral:lncRNA from 1 species
CCCAGCAGUUGGGAAGCAGAGGCAAGUGGAUCUCUGUGAGUUCAAGGCCAGCCAGGGCUACACACAGAAACCCUGUCUCAAACCACCACCACCCCAAAAUAUCAUUAAUCAACAGUAUGUUUCAAAGUAUAUGUUCACAGAUCUAUCUAUCCAUAAAUACUUUUUUUUCCUCAAGGGAAAAAAACCCACCCCCAUCCUGCAAAAGCAAGUUCAAAAUCAAAAUGAACUCCUGGU